UUGCGCCCUGAGGCGCGGGCGGCGGAGGGUUUUGGCCACUUCCCCGGGGCCCGGCGUGAGGAAGACGGCGGAGGAAGGCCCCGUGGCGGUCUGCGUGCGAGUCCGGCGCUCAGCAGCAGAGAAGAAGAACUUGGAGAAACUGCCCAAGCUUACUGGAAAAUUGACAAUAAUGCCAUGUAUCAAGUUGAUGGAAGUAAAUCCUUCAAUUUUGAUCGUGUCUUUCAUAAUAAUGAAACUACUAAAAAUGUGUAUGAAGAAAUAGCAGCACCAAUCAUGGAUUCUGCCAUACAAGGCUACAAUGUUUCCUGAUAGGGAAUUUCUCUUGCAUGUGUCUUACAUGGAGAUAUACAAUGAAACCUUUAAUAAUUCGAGAAGAUGUCAAUAGGAAUGUGUAUGUUGCUGAUCUCACAGAAGUGGUUUAUACAUCAGAAAUGGCUUUGAAAUGGAUCACAAAGGGAGAAAGGAACAGCCAUUAUGAAAAAACAAAAAUGAAUCAGAGAAGUUGUUCUCAUACAAUUUUUAAGAUGAUUUCUGAAAGCAGAGAGACGGAUGAGCCUUCUAAUUGUGAAGGGUCUGUGAAGGUGUCCCAUUUGCAGUCUUUCUGUACAAUGUAAGUUCCGUGAGAGCAGAGACCUUAUUUGUUUGGUUCAUUGCUGUAUCCCCGCACCUAAUGCACCACCUGGAGCAUGGCAGUGAAAGAGCUGCUCAAACGGGAGCUGAAGCUCCCUCCUCCCCCUCCCUCCCUGCGCCGCUGCCGCCGGCUGAGGACUGGGCUCCGGGCUCUGGUAGGAAGCGCUGGGAGCGGGGCGCUUUGAAAACACUGAUCUGGGUGUUUUUAAAACCUCCUUUGGAAAAAUAAUGGCCAACUCGACGGAGAAGGCGCCUCCGGACGAGCGGAGAAAGGGACUCGCUUUCCUGGGCGAGCUGCGGCAGUUCCACCCCAGCAGAGGGCGACAGCGGAACCGGGGCGGCGGCGGGCGAGCCGGGCGAACGGGGCUCUCCCGGCCGGCCGGGCGCGGGGCCCGGCUGACAAGCGCGGGGCUUUCUGUCUCCCGCAGGUCGCCUUUUAAAAAAAUCCCUGCGGUGGCUGGGAAGGAGCCGAGUCUUCACGGUCUCUACAACAGAGUCACUACUUGUGGGCGGAUUCGCGAAGGUGAGUGGAAGUCUUAAGUUGUAUUUCCCUCUCUCUGACCUCCUCCAAAAAGUCUCCUUUGACCCCGCCCGCGGGGGCAAAAGGCGUUCUUGGCGCUCGGACGGCGGCGGGGCUGCUUUUGGCCUGGUGGCUCGCGUGUGCGCAGCUGGCGCGGGGCUCGAGCGGGCGGGAGGGGUCUGUAUAUAAAAAUUCUUCAUCUUUUUCUUCCUAAACUCAUUUUUUGCUAAGCGGUUUCAUAAGUUAUCGAGAUGGCAAAUUAACAUGAAUUCUCCAGAAUUCCUUCGGAGGAAAUGCAAAAACACAUAUUAUCUGCACAAUUACUCCGGUGUCUUUUGAUGAAACCCUUACAACUCUCCAGCUAUAUUACAAAGAUGAAAGAAGAACAACAUGAAUCCAUCAAUAAAUUUGAAAUGGAUUUUAUUGGUGAAGUGGAAAAGCAAAAUAAAUUGCUAAUUAAAAUACAGCACCUUCAACAAGAUUGUGAUGUACCAUCCAAGGAAUUCAAGGUUCAACUCAAGUUGAACCAGAAUAUGGAUCUACAUAUUGAGGAAAUUCUUAAAGAUUUCUCAGAAAGUGACUUCCCAGCAUAAAGACUGAAUUUCAACAAGUUUUAAGUAAUAGGAAAGAAAUGACCCAGUUUUUGGAAGACUGAUUGAAUACUCAUUGUGAAAAGCUUAAAAAUGGCAUCCAGAAAGAAAACUAUAGAAUUUGUCAAGUGAAUUACUUCUUUAACAACAAAAUAAUUGCCAUAAUGAAUGAAUCAACAGAGUUUGAGGAAAGAAGUACUAUCAUAUCUAAAGAAUGGGAGCAUGACCUGAAAUCAUUGAAAGAGCAAAAUGAAAAACUAUUUAAAAACUACCAAACUUUGAAGAUUACCCAGGCUUCUGGUGCCCAUGUUAAUAAUCCCAACACACAAGACAGUAAGAAUCCUCAUAUUACCUCAAGAGCUAUACAACUAACCACAGAGAAAAUUCAGGACCUGGAAACUUCGCUAUGUGAAGCUAAAGAAAGUGCUAUGCAUAAGGAAGACAAGAUUAUAAAGAUGCAGAAGGAACUUGAGGUGGCUAAUGACACAAUAGCAAAACUUCAAGCCAAAGUUAAUGAAUCAACUAGAUGCCUUGGAAAAAUAAAAGAAACAAUCCAAGUACUUCAGAAUUACUUCCACAAAAGCCACGAUAGAACAUCAAACAGAAGUUAUAAGGCUAGUGAGAGAAAAAUCUUAGAAGAAUUCAACAGGCCCAAGAUACCUCAAUGGUAUCAGAACAUAUUGAUUCUCAGCCUUUAAAUAAACCCUUAACCUGUGGGGGUGGCAGCGGCAUUGUACAAAGCACAAAAGCUCUUAUUAUGAAAAGUGAAUAUGUAAGGCUAAAAAAGGAAAUUUCUAAAUUAAAGCAGCAAAAUGAACAGCUAACAAAGCAAAUGAAUGAACUGCUAAGUGAGGUCGAAACUUGGAAGGAAAGAACCCUUAAAAGAGAGGCUCACAAAGAAGCAGUUUGUGAGAAUUCUCCAAAGUCUCCUAAGGUGACUGGGAACAGCUUCUGAAAAAAGACAGGUUACACCUUUUCAGUGUAAGGAAUGGAAUUUACAAGAUCCUGUGCCAAAGGAGUCACCAAAAUCUUGGUUUUUUGAUAGCCAAUCAAAGUCUCUACCAGCACCUCAUCCAAUUUCCUAUUUUGAUAACUCAAGUUUAGGCCUUUGUCCAGGUAGGCAAUGUUUCUCCAGGCACAGCACUGAAUUUCAAUCACUUUUACCCCAAGUAAAGUACUUAUUCUAUCGCUUAAACCUGCAGUUUUCUCCAAAGAUAGAGAGAGUCUAUUUUGCCAACAAAGGAGGAAAUAGGGUAGAACUGCUUGUCUCAAAAUCCCAAAGUUCCUGAACAUAGGGCUAGGCAGAAAUACAGAGCUUUUAAAGGGAGGGUUCUCAGCUUUAGCAAUGAUUGUGGUUAAUUAUUUCAAUCAUCCCAGCUCUGCCAAAAACAAAGCCUGUGAACUCUGCUGGCCACCCACCUGGGGGCUGGGGACCACUUGGGAGUUUUAAGAAAAGAUUUAACUUGCCUUGGGGAUAUAGGCCAGACUAUAAGUUCCAAAACGCGGGGGUGGGGGGAAGUUUUAAAACGACAGAAAAUAUUUCUGUCCUUUUUUUUUUUUCUUUUUUCCUUUUUUUCCCACUGGGCCAUUACUUCUAUGACAUUGGGAAACUCAUGAUGUGAAAUAGUUUGUGCCUAGAAGAAACUUUUCGGUUGGCUACGUUAAGUAUGAAGCAUGUUUUAUAUGUUUCAAGGACAUUAUAAAAAAUUCAGCAGACUUGUUCACGAUCAUUAGGGAAAUGAAUGAUUUUCCUUUUGUAAAUGUUUACAUACCACAAGCUGCUCGAGGACUGUCAUUGACACUAUCGACCAACAGAGGUUAUUUUCAUUGUCCCAGAGGCCCCGCAGGAAUGAGGUGCUCACCAUAUUCACUUAGAAAUGUAUAUUCUCAAAUACAUAAAAUUUCCCUAUCCCCAGUUACCGUAGGUAGUCAAGUCACUUAAAUCUGCUGAGUUUGCUCCGUCUCAGCCAAUGACCAAGGAAGCCCGAUUUUGUAAGAUCAAAGAGCAUGAUGCCAAAAGAUAUGAGCCUGAUGCUGAAAAGAAAUAGGUUCAGGCGUCCACGUGCACACACAAAGAGGAUCGGAUACAUUGUGUUGACAGUGUUUUGAGUCAGGGAAACUGGAAGAUGAGUUCGAAGUAUCAUGAACAACUUUGUAUUUCUUCCAGGACAGGAAAAUUGACAGAAGAGAAAAUGCAUUGUUCUCAGCAUAGGAUAAAAAGACACAUCUUGUUAUAUAAUUCAUUCUGUGAUUUAAAUUUUUAUAUGAUAUGAUCUUCAAUGAACCUAAAAAACAAGGUAAAACAGAAACAAAAG